ACCUGGGUGGCUCAGUUGGUUGGGUGUCUGACUUCGGCUCAGGUCAUGAUCCCAUGGUUUGUGAGUUCGAGCCCCGCUUCAGGCU
rnacentral:tRNA from 1 species